GAGAUGAGUCAUCCCUGACUUUAAGUCAGUAAGGGUUGUUGUAGACUACGACGUAGAUAGGUCAGGUGUGUAAGUGUAGUGAUACAUUGAGCUAACAGAUACUAAUUGCCCGAGAGGCUUAACUAUACAACGCUCAAG
rnacentral:rRNA from 1 species